GACGAACGCUCUUGGCAUGCCUAACACAUGCAAGUCGAACGGAGAUCUCAAUAUCUUAGUGGCGGACGGGUGAGUAAUGGAUGAGUAAUCUGCCUCAUACACUGGGAUAACACAGAGAAAUUUGUGCUAAUACCGGAUGAGACCACACUACCGCAUGGUAGAGGGGUCAAAGGGCUUUACUGGUAUGAGAUGAGCUCAUCUCCCAUUAGCUAGUUGGUAAGAUAACAGCCUACCAAGGCGACGAUGGGUAGCCGGCCUGAGAGGGUGAACGGCCACAUUGGAACUUAGACACGGUCCAAACUCCUACGGGAGGCAGCAGUGGGGAAUAUUGGGCAAUGGGCGAAAGCCUGACCCAGCAAUGCCGCGUGAGUGAAGAAGGUCUUCGGAUUGUAAAGCUCUUUGAUUAGGGACGAAAAAAUGACUGUACCUAAAGAACAAGCCCCGGCUAACUACGUGCCAGCAGCCGCGGUAAUACGUAGGGGGCAAGCGUUGUCCGGAAUUAUUGGGCGUAAAGGGUGCGUAGGUGGUUUAGCAAGUUGGAAGUGAAAUACCCAGGGCUUAACUCGGGUGCUGCUUUCAAAACUACUAGACUUGAGUGUGGGAGAGAAUAGUGGAAUUCCUAGUGUAGCGGUGGAAUGCGUAGAUAUUAGGAGGAACACCAGUGGCGAAGGCGACUAUUUGGGCCAUAACUGACACUGA
rnacentral:rRNA from 1 species